rnacentral:sRNA from 2 species
AUGAGCCACUUAAGGGGAAGGUAAGAAUCUUCGAUAAGGUUCGCGCCGAGCGUAGCGAGACAACGACGCGCAGCGGCGGCCCGAAGGGUGAGGAACGAAGUGACGAAUAAUCCUUCCCCCACCACCA